CCUACGGGAGGCAGCAGUGGGGAAUAUUGCACAAUGGGGGAAACCCUGAUGCAGCGACGCCGCGUGAGUGAAGAAGUAUCUCGGUACGUAAAGCUCUAUCAGCAGGGAAGAAAAUGACGGUACCUGACUAAGAAGCCCCGGCUAACUACGUGCCAGCAGCCGCGGUAAUACGUAGGGGGCAAGCGUUAUCCGGAUUUACUGGGUGUAAAGGGAGCGUAGACGGCGCUGCAAGUCAGAUGUGAAAACCAUGGGCUCAACCUGGGGCCUGCAUUUGAAACUGUUUGUCUUGAGUACUGGAGGGGCAAGCGGAAUUCCUAGUGUAGCGGUGAAAUGCGUAGAUAUUAGGAGGAACACCAGUGGCGAAGGCGGUCUGCUGGACAGCAACUGACGCUGAGGCGCGAAAGCGUGGGGAGCAAACAGGAUUAGAUACCCGAGUAGUC
rnacentral:rRNA from 1 species